rnacentral:rRNA from 1 species
UAACCUGCCCAAGAGAUCGGGAUAACACCUGGAAACAGAUGCUAAUACCGGAUAACUACAGAUGAUGCCUAUCAACUGUUUAAAAGAUGGUUCUGCUAUCACUCUUGGAUGGACCUGCGGUGCAUUAGCUAGUUGGUAGGGUAACGGCCUACCAAGGCGAUGAUGCAUAGCCGAGUUGAGAGACUGAUCGGCCACAUUGGGACUGAGACACGGCCCAAACUCCUACGGGAGGCAGCAGCU